UUCAAUCAGACUUAGCUUUUGCCUCAACACCCCCCUCCUUUUUUGUUGUUCUGAACUGAACAGUUGUUUAUGUUGUGGAGACAACAUCCUUAUCGUUUCAGCUUGAAGGCUCCAGAGACCACUACUUUUUUCACCAUCAUGAAGCUUCUUUCUCUCUACCUUUUUGCUCUCCUGGCAGCUACAGCAAAGUCCUUAAACUGUUAUGAAUCUGGGACAUCUCAAGUUUGUACCAGUGGCAAAUGCUUUUCACAAGAAACAGAAAAUAACAUUGGUAAGUGCAUCCUGGGAAGGUAAGAAUGUUAAUAUUUUGCAGAUUCCCAAAUAUCCUUUGCAACUCAAGGCCUGUUGGGUGCGGUUUUUUUGGCCUGUUUAUAUCCCAGAGCCAUUAAAAAUACCUCUGAUAACCCAAGUGUUGCUAGUUACGGUUCUACUGCCACUUUUUUUUUUUAUAAAUCUUUAUUGGCUUACAACAUUUAACACAAACAAAUACCUAACAAACAUAAAAUGAGAAGAGCAAAUACAAAUAGAAAAAGAAUAAGAAAAAACCCUAAAACCCCCUUUUCUUUCUUUUUUUUUGUGGCUGUGUGGUGUUAGACUUUAGGGUUUUUUCUACUGCCACUUUCCAGCUGGAAGAAUAAUAGUCAGUAAAACCUGAAGGCAAUAAAGCUGUUGAGAAAAACUGGGUCUUCCAGUGUGGAUCUCAAAAAAUUCAUU